rnacentral:misc_RNA from 1 species
AAGUAUAUAAUACAUCUAAAAAAAUAAAUAAAAUAUGUAUAAAUUCAGUUCUUGGUUCAGUUACAGUUUGAUUCGGUUUUGAUACGGUUCUAAGUGAAGAAUCAGAAUCAAACUAAAGUAUUAAAAUAAUUUCGGUUUGAUAUGGUUCUUGGCGGUUUGGUUUUGUAUGGUUUGGGAUCCCCAAGAACUGUGCACAGCCCUAGUAGGUGUUUGCAGUUUGCCAUCAUUUUUUUUUCUUUUAUCUGAUAAGACAUCAUCAUUAAUUGUUAGUCAGUGUAAUAUUAGUGACCCUAAGGAUUUGUUAUGGUCUUAUGAAGAAAGCCUUGAUAAUAGGUCCACUUAACUGUCCAUGCAUAUGGUGUUUGAUCUUGCAUGUUGAUAACAGCUUCAAAUAGAGCACUAGAAUCAUUUGGUCCUGCUUUAUUCUGUGGGUUCCUUUAGUGAAUGUUUGCAGUUAUUGAACUACGUGUCUGAUAUAUUAAGGAUUUAGCAACUCUAGAUCGUUUUGAAGAUGAUGUCCUAAAUUGGAUGGAAUGGAGAAGAAUCACUCAAAUGGCUUAACCCUACUAGUUUGGGUUUAAGAUUUGCUUGAGUAUUUGAUUUAUUAGUUAAUUUUACUAGCUGUACAUGUUUGUUAACGCUUGCCUCUCUAUCUCAACUUCUUUUAGAUAGAUAGCAGGAACAUAUUUUUGGUCUUAGUUCAUAGAAAAGAUUAGUUUUGUUGUUUUUGUUACCUAUAGAUGGCAAAUUUUUUAUGGAUGAGCUUACAUAAAAUUUGUAGACAGAUCCAUACUUAUCUAAAAAUUCUGAUCUCAGAAGAAAAAAAAAUCAAAGACUCUCAUUGAAAUGGAACUCUAAUAAUUGUUUGCAGCUUCAAGGGGUGUGAUUAAGCAAAUCCUUUAUCUCUCUUUAAUUUAUUCUUAUUUUUGAUGUUCUUGGUAGGAUGGUGGAUAGGGUUACUGAGAGGAGUCUCAUUCUGGAUAUUGAAGUUUGAUAUGAUUCUCCCAUUUGCAAUUUGUUAAUGGGACCAUUUUCUUUUUCUUUGAUGGGUGAACAAUUUUUGUUAAUGUGCUAAUCUUGUUGUAGAUAUUUAAGAGAGUGUUUGGCUUGAAUAUGAAUAUUUCUAAGAAUGGAAUGGUAUGGAUUAGCUGGGAUUGUGAGGCUGUGGAUGGUGUGGCUUCUUGAGUGCAAGGGGUGUGGUAAAAUGAUGGCCAUUUUAAGUGGUAAUCCUAGGUCAACAGCAUCUAGGAUAAUGAAGAUACAAUAUAGAACCUGAAUUUGCAAAUUGCAAAUUUUGUAAUUUCAGUUUUUUUUUCCCCUUCCCUUUGUUCAAUCCCCAACUAGCUGACUUGUAGGAUUUGGAUUUGGCUUGUUUGACUGACAAACUAUGAUGAAUUGAGUCAAACUAUUGGCUGAACCAUGAUUACACCUUUUUUGAAUGGUUUGGUUUAUUUAUAGUGUAGUGGGAAAAAAAAAAUGAAAGGCGCUAGUUCAUUGGAAUCAAAAACCGUUGUCGGGUAAAAUGCUGUCAACUGAUUUCUUUGUUUUUGGUCCCCUCUUUCUUUUCUAGGAAGAAACCUUAUAUCCUGUUGAAUUUAAUUACCUCUUUUUUGAUAAUAUUUUUCUUCUAUAAAAAGUGACAUGAAAGUAACUAGGAUUAUUAUUUUCUUGUUUGUGGUGGUGAUUAUUCAAUUGAGACCAGUAAGUUAAUGAAAGAAAGGAUUUUGGCAUUUGGCUUUUAUAUUAUAUGUAGUUGCUCUAAAAGUAAACUGCGUAUCAUUUGUUUGUUCACAUUUUUUACUGCUUAUGAUUUCCUGCAGCUACAACUCUAACUGGUUUGCAUUUUGCUACCACAACCUUGUUGGCUUUUGUUCUAAGGUGGCUGGGAUACAUCCAAGCCUCUCAUCUACCUUUCCCAGAGCUUUUGAAAUUUGUCUUCUUUGCAAACUUCUCAGUUGUUGGAAUGAAUGUUAGUCUAAUGUGGAAUUCAGUGGGAUUUUAUCAGAUUGCAAAGCUGAGUAUGAUUCCUGUGUCCUGCCUUUUGGAAGUGUUGUUUGACAAGAUUCGGUACUCCCGAGACACAAAGUUGAGUAUAGCAGUUGUUCUCUUGGGUGUUGGUGUUUGCACUAUCACCGAUGUAAGUGUGAAUACCAAGGGCUUCAUCGCUGCUUUCAUUGCUGUCUGGAGCACUUCUCUGCAACAGUAUUAUGUGCAUUACCUUCAAAAGAAGUAUUCGCUUAGUUCUUUUAACCUACUUGGUCAUACUGCUCCAGCACAGGCUGCAACAUUGCUGUUAGUAGGCCCCUUUUUGGAUUACUGGUUGACAAACAGAAGAGUUUACACUUAUGACUAUAAUAUAGCCUCUGUGAUGUUCAUUAUUCUAUCAUGCACCAUUGCGGUUGGGACCAACCUCAGCCAGUUCAUCUGCAUUGGCAAAUUCACAGCUGUGUCAUUUCAAGUACUUGGUCAUAUGAAGACAAUCCUUGUGUUGAUAAUGGGGUUCUUCUUCUUUGGGAGAGAGGGCCUCAAUUUACAGGUAGUUCUGGGCAUGUUCAUAGCUGUGGUCGGAAUGAUCUGGUACGGCAAUGCUUCAUCUAAGCCAGGAGGAAAGGAGCGUUGGAGCAUUUCACUACCAACAAGCAGACAACAAAAACACAGUAAUUUAUCAGAAUCCAGUGAACGUGACCCGAAGGCCUAAGCAUAUUCAUGUAGGAUAAGUUAAAGGAUACAAGGGUAGCUUAUUCCAGAAAUUCAUUAGUCGUAUGAGAGAGUAGAAAUCCAAUGGUUUGAUGCUAAUUAAUUUCUUCUUUAUUCAAUUGGUUCUCUUUUCUCUUUCUUUUACUAAAUCCUACCAAGGGAAAGGAGAUUUUUGCUUAGGGUUAGGCUUUUUUUUUUUUU